rnacentral:rRNA from 1 species
GUCACAAAGACCCCUAAAAAAAAGCAGCCCUCACAAAGAAAAGAAACAAGUUAAAUAAAAAGAAUUUAAAGAAAGCGAAAGAAGGUACGCCGACCCGAACCCCAUAGCGACGACGUUCGCCGCGACGUCCCCCCUCUCUUCUCUUGGCUAAAUCUCCCGCCGCCGGUGCAGCUCGGUCGCUCCGUCGCUGGAGGCGCGAGAGGAAGGGGGAAAGAUGAAGACAACUAAGGGAGGGAAAGUCAUGAAUCCCACCGACGCCUUCCGCAAGGAGCAGCGCAGGAAGGAGCUUAAGCGGAACAAAAAAGAAAGAAAGAAGGUACGGGAGGUUGGCAUUUUGAAAAAGGACCCAGAUGCUAUAAAGGAUCAGAUUGAGAAGUUGGAAAAGAUGAAGGCUGAUGGUGCUCUGGAUAAGGCUAGGAAACAUAAGAAAAGACAGCUUGAGGAUACUUAUAAUCUUGUUGUGAAGAAAAGGAAGGAAUAUGAAGAAAAGAUGAAAGAAAAGGGUGAGCAACCAGUUAUGUUCAGCCAUCUUGGACCACCAAAGAGACGGCCUGCAGCAGACGAAGAUGACAGAGCUAAAAACCCUAUGCCUGAGGAUUCUGUUUACUAUCACCCAACCUUGAACCCAUCUGGGGCACCACCACCUGGCAAACCUCCUAUGUACAAAUCAUCGAUAGGACCAAGGAUUCCACUGCCUUCCUCAGUUGGUGCUGGGGCUUCAUCUUCCAUGACAGAAUCUGAAGAAGCAGGUCCUUCCACCAUGCCCCCUCCUCCACCGCCCCCUCCACUGCCAGCCAAUUCAGAACCUUCAGAUCUAUCUGUCCCUUCUUUACCUUUACCCCCACCACCGCCCCCACCCCCGCCUAAGCCUGCUGGCGCUGUAAUAGCACCAGGCUUACCGCUGCCACCUCCACCUCCUCCUCCUGGUGCACCUCCCAGAGAACCUGUGUUAGAUCAUAUAUUACUGCCACCACCUCCCCCUCCACAGCGGCCUUUGCAACAACCACCUCUACCUGGUACAAAUGAGCUGCUUAAUAAACAAAUUGUUGGAGAGGGUGCAAGCUCGGCAGAUUCUACACAGGCUCCAGUUGUGCUACCUCCACCUCCACCUCCCCCUAGGUUGCCACCGAACUCAAAUGAAAUGCAGGCUACUGACAAUACUGCUAUGGAUACUCCUGUUGUGAAAGAAGAUGCUAAAAUUCCAAGGUUCUUACCACCACCUCCACCGCAUCCAUCGCAGUUACUGCCUUUGCCUCCAAGGCCUCCAAUGAUGCCUCCAGUACAACCUGAUAUUCUAAGCCCAGGAAUGGUCAGAUUUCCUCCACCACCGUCACAACCAGAUUCAAGGCCACCAUUUAUUGCUCCUGGUGUUGCUGCCAGGCCCCCUCCACCUCCUCCAGCAUUACCUCCGGCUCAAAUGCCAAUGUCACCCUUUGGUGUACUUCCUGGUCCGUCAGCAAUGCUUAGGCCUCCAUUUUUUCCAGGACCCGAGUUUGCUGCUUUUGGCCCAAGGCCGCAGUUACCUCAGCAGCCAUCUUACGUCAAAUCGGCUGCUUCAACAGUUGUAAAGAGACCAUUAGCACAACAUACUCCUGAGCUAACAGCUAUGGUUCCUGCAUCAGUUCGAGUUAAGAGAGAAUCCGCUCUCCCUAAACCAAAACCAAAGGCGCAGCAGCAGCAGCAGCAGUCAUCAGCACCAUCAUAUUCUGCUCUGAAGCCUUCAGUAACCCCCAUAAAAUCUGCAGCCCAGCCUUCACCCUCAGCUUCUAAGCCACAAAGCAUUGAUGACUCCUACAUGGCAUUCCUGGAGGAUAUGAAGCAACUGGGUGCCCUCGAUGAGUAGCUCAGCACCCAGUCCCUUCUCCCUGAUGGCUGUCAGCAGCUUGGUCAUGAACCUGAACCUGAACAUGAUUCUGUUCUUUGCAUUGUGGCUUAUGAAUGGCUUUUCCUGCUAUGAUCUUAGAAACCGUUUCUGUUUUCCAUGAGCAAGCAUUUGAGAUGUAUUCCAGUUCGAAAUGGGGAGACAACUAUCAUCAACAAAUCUUUUCGUUGUUGUCAUUGUGCAACACAGCCGUAUCGAGUCAAACAAUGGAAGCAUUUGAUUCAAUUUUUUUUAAUGGAAGCACUUGAUUGGCCGCUCUAGCUAAUAGGGCAACAAUAUCUAUCCACUUGUCUGUGUAACGAUCCCCUGGACGACUUGAGAUAACUCUGGUUGUGGGGAACACCACUGGCAGCUUGCU